rnacentral:rRNA from 1 species
UGAGGAAUAUUGGACAAUGGGCGCAAGCCUGAUCCAGCAAUGCCGCGUGCAGGAUGAAGGCCUUCGGGUUGUAAACUGCUUUUGUACGGAGCGAAAAGGUCUGCCCUAAUACGGUGGGCUCAUGACGGUACCGUAAGAAUAAGCACCGGCUAACUACGUGCCAGCAGCCGCGGUAAUACGUAGGGUGCGAGCGUUAAUCGGAAUUACUGGGCGUAAAGCGUGCGCAGGCGGUUAUAUAAGACAGAUGUGAAAUCCCCGGGCUCAACCAGGGACCUGCAUUUGUGACUGUAUAGCUAGAGUACGGUAGAGGGGGAUGGAAUUCCGCGUGUAGCAGUGAAAUGCGUAGAUAUGCGGAGGAACACCGAUGGCGAAGGCAAUCCCCUGGACCUGUACUGACGCUCAUGCACGAAAGCGUGGGGAGCAAACA